UGUCGCUGAUGACCGAUCCGAAUCAGCGGAGGGGGGGUACAGAAGGUCCUCCAGGACCUUAGCUUGGUGGGUGUCGCUUCUCAGCCGACCUUCUCCUGAGUUGAUGAGUGCUCUGCGUAUUCAGCCUCAGUUUCCGUGGAUUGGGUGCGUUUUGCUUCUUUCAACUCUCGGAGUUUUCAUCCAUUCGCCUAUACAUUCCCUCCCUGCAUAAGGCGGGUUUGGAUUUCGGCUUCCCCGGUAAUCGUUGAGGGUUAUGUUUACGGAAGUUGCUCUUCCGUGGGCGAACAUAAUGUAGUGUUAUUUUAGUUUUUUAUCUCUGUUUUGCCACGGAACUUCAAGUUCUUGUGGCCGUCCCGGGAUACUUCGUGUAUCCCUCCCGGGUCAUACAGUCCCGGGUUGAUUUAUGUCUUACACAGUUCCUGGGAUGUAUAUAUUUAUAUAUAUAUUUAUAUAUUAUAUAUAUUAUAUUGUUUCAAUCCGGAAUGAUCUGGCAUAUUACUUUGUAACAUGGGUAUUCCUAUAAGUUUGCGCAAACGUUCUUAUACGUAUGUUAUCGCACUUACAGGCCACCCAGUGUCUGGUUGCCGGCUGUAACGCUAUUCUACAGGAUCCAUGCGGCCACGAUGUUUGCCGGGGCCAUGCCCCGUGUGCAGUGUUGCUGAAAGAUUCCGUAGUCUGGCAUCACGGAAACUGCUUUGCCUGCUACGUCUUGGUGCAACAGGUUACCUCUCCGACGGAGCGAGCAGUCUGUUAAGGAUGCUGCACCCUCCACCCUCAUGAUCUGGGUUGGAGGUUUUGGCCAGAACGUAAGGAAGGCUAAGCUGUAUAUCCUAUCCCUAGAUAUGGCAGCUUUGAUCUUCCCGGCCGGAGAAAUCAGCCGGAUACGUUGACCCAGAAGUCGCAGCACCGAUUAUCAAAUGAAUUAGGGAUUCAGUUAUUGAACAGCAAUAGGCGGAAUUGCCGGAGCUUGGGUUGGAAGGAGUGUCACUUGAAGUGCUUGACAAUUUGCCCAUUACACCAGAUGUGGGCACAGAUAUUUCUCCAUACAACCACUGCAUGGUAAGCUGGCAGAGUACAAGUAACAGUUCUAAGGCGCUCUAAAAAAAUAAUUACCGACGUGAAUGUUAUUCAGUGAAGCAAUCCUAACUACAGCAAAAGAGGCUGGCUAG